UACGAAGGGGGCUAGCGUUGCUCGGAAUGACUGGGCGUAAAGGGCGCGUAGGCGGUUUGUACAGUCAGAUGUGAAAUUCCUGGGCUCAACCUGGGGGCUGCAUUUGAUACGUAUGGACUGGAGUGAGGAAGAGGGUCGUGGAAUUCCCAGUGUAGAGGUGAAAUUCGUAGAUAUUGGGAAGAACACCGGUGGCGAAGGCGGCGACCUGGUCCUUUUACUGACGCUGAGGCGCGAAAGCGUGGGGAGCAAACAGG
rnacentral:rRNA from 1 species